rnacentral:sRNA from 1 species
CUGCAUACAUUGGUCUGGCCGCUGUGUCCCGGCCUGGAGAAGGGGUGAAAAACAUGAACUUACAGGGCUUUGGGUUCCAUGUGCAAGCAUGUGAGUCAGACGUGGGAGGCUCCUGGACCUACUUGCCCUCUCAGUGAGUCCUUUGCAUGCUAUAAACAGUGAAAAGCAAAACAAAGCCAUUCAAAUACGGAUGCUCUUUUUACUUGAUGUGCAGUGCGGAGGGAGAGAAGAUAGGGAAGGGUUGGGGGGCCAGAGAACCACCAUUGUGACCUAUUUCCAUUCUCUUUUUUAGGGAACAUUAAGCAAAAUCCCAAUACACAGAGCCUGUCACAGACAGGGACGGAGCUGAAGACCAUCAACGACUUUCUCUUCCAGAGCCAGAUCGACAACAUCAACCUGUUCAAGGUGCAGCGAUACUGUGAGAAGAGCAUGAUCAGCAGAAAGCUCUUUGGAUUCACUGAACGGUACGGAGCAGUGCUCUCAUCCCGGGAGCAGCCCAAACUGGCUGGGUUUCAGCAAUUCCUGCAGAGCCUGCAGCCCAGGACGACUGAAGCUCUUGCAGCCCCUG